AACGAACGCUGGCGGCGUGUUUAAGACAUGCAAGUCGCACGGGAAUAUUUUGGUAGUAAUACUUGAAUGUUUUAGUGGCGCACGGGUGAGUAACACGUGAAUUACAUGCCCUUCAGUGGGGAAUAGCCCAGGGAAACUUGGAUUAAUACCCCAUGGUAUCGCAAGAUUAAAGGUGGCCGCAAGGCUGUCGCUGAAGGAUUGGUUCGCGCCCUAUCAGCUUGUUGGCGAGGUAACGGCUCACCAAGGCUACGACGGGUACCUGGUUUGAGAGGACGAUCAGGCACACUGGAACUGAGACACGGUCCAGACACCUACGGGUGGCAGCAGUCGAGAAUAAUUCACAAUGGGGGCAACCCUGAUGGUGCAACGCCGCGUG
rnacentral:rRNA from 1 species